UCUGGUCCUUUUGUGCCCGCCGCCGCGGUAAUACGGAAGGUCCGGGCGUUAUCCGGAUUUCUUGGGUUUAAAGGGAGCGUAGGCCGGAGAUUAAGCGUGUUGUGAAAUGUAGAUGCUCAACAUCUGAACUGCAGCGCGAACUGGUUUCCUUGAGUACGCACAAAGUGGGCGGAAUUCGUGGUGUAGCGGUGAAAUGCUUAGAUAUCACGAAGAACUCCGAUUGCGAAGGCAGCUCACUGGAGCGCAACUGACGCUGAAGCUCGAAAGUGCGGGUAUCGAACAGG
rnacentral:rRNA from 1 species